rnacentral:rRNA from 1 species
CUUGAACGCUGGCGGCAGGCCUAACACAUGCAAGUCGAACGAGUGGCGGACGGGUGAGUAAUGUCUGGGAAACUGCCUGAUGGAGGGGGAUAACUACUGGAAACGGUAGCUAAUACCGCAUACCAUCGGAUGUGCCCAGAUGGGAUUAGCUAGUAGGUGGGGUAAAGGCUCACCUAGGCGACGAUCCCUAGCUGGUCUGAGAGGAUGACCAGCACAAAUGGAACUGAGAAACGGUCCAGAUUCCUACGGGAGGCAGCAGUGGGGAAUAUGGCACAAUGGGCGCAAGCCUUAUGCAGCCAUGCCGCGGGUAUGAAGAAGGCCUUCGGGUUGUAAAGUACUUUCAGCGGGGAGUCGUUACCCGCAGAAGAAGCACCGGCUAACUCCGUGCCAGCAGCCGCGGUAAUUC